GUCUGUUUGUAGAUAUAAAGAGUCUAACCUGCCCACUGAUAUAAAGUUGAUUUAAGGGCCGCAGUAUUAUGACUGUGCAAAGGUAGCAUAAUCAUUAGGUUUUUAAAUGAGAUCUUGUAUGAAUGGUUGGACAAGGGAGAAACUGUCUUAAAUUUUAAAUUUGAAUUUUACUUUUAAGUGAGAAGGCUUAAAUAUUUUAGAGGGACGAUAAGACCCUAUAAAGCUUUACAUAGGAGUUACAUUUAAUUGAAUUUACUGGGUUUAAAAGUUUUAUGUGAUUAUUUGUUUUAUUGGGGCGAUAGAGGCAGAAAUGAAUAAUAGCUGCCUAUAAAGUAGACAUUUGUGUAUAUGAGAUUAGAAUUAAUAGAUCCUAAUUACAGAUUUUAAGUUUAAGUUACUUUAGGGAUAACAGUAUAAUUUUUUUUAAGAGUUCAUAUCGAAAAAGAAGUUUAUAACCUCGAUGUUGAAUUAAAAUAUCUAUACAAUGUAGCUGUUGUAUAAGAGGGUCUGU
rnacentral:rRNA from 1 species